CAUGUCUUUUUGAUAAUAAUUUAAGGUCUAAUCUGCUCAAUGAGGAAUUAAAUUGCCGCGGUAUUUUGACCGUGCAAAGGUAGCAUAAUAAUUAGUUUUUUUAUUGAAAGCUGGAAUGAAUGAUUGGACGAGAGAAUAACUGUCUCUUAGAAAUUUUUUUUUUAAGUUAACUUUUGAGUUAAAAGGCUCAGAUUUUUUUGAAAGACGAGAAGACCCUAUAGAGUUUAACAUUAUUAUUUAUAAAGAUUUUUUGGUAUUUGAUUUUCUUUUUAGGAUAUAGAUGUUUAGUUGGGGUGACUAAAGGAUUGAUAAAACUCUUUUAUUAAAAAAUCAAUGAUUUUUGAGUAUUGGAUCUGGAUUUUCUAAAUUUAAUAUAAAUUACCUUAGGGAUAACAGCGUAAUUUCUUUUUAGAGUUCUUAUUGAAAGGGAAGUUUGCGACCUCGAUGUUGGAUUAAAAUUUAUUUUUGGUGUAGUAGCUAGAAAAUUAAGUCUGUUCGACUUUUGAAAUUUUACAUGAUCUGAGU
rnacentral:rRNA from 1 species